GUACGGGGGGGGUAAGCGUUGUUCGGAAUUACUGGGCGUAAAGGGCUCGUAGGCGGCCAACUAAGUCAGACGUGAAAUCCCUCAGCUUAACUGGGGAACUGCGUCUGAUACUGGAUGGCUUGGAUUCGGGAGAGGAAUGCGGAAUUCCAGGUGUAGCGGUGAAUGACGCAGAUAUCAGGAAGACACCAAUGGCGAAAGCAGCUCUCUGGGACGGUACUGACGCUGAGACGCGAAAGCGUGGGGAGCGAACAGG
rnacentral:rRNA from 1 species